GACGAACGCUGGCGGCGUGCUUAACACAUGCAAGUCGAACGAAGAGCGAUGGAAGCUUUCUUCUAUCAAUCUUAGUGGCGAACGGGUGAGUCACGCGUAAUCAACCUUCCCUUCAGAGGGGGACAACAGUUGGAAACGACUGCUAAUACCGCAUACGAUCUAACCUCGGCAUCGAGUAAAGAUGAAAGGUGGCCUCUAUGUAUAAGCUAUCACUUAAGGAGGUGAUUGCGUCUGAUUAGCUAGUUGGCGUGGUAACGUCCCACCAAGGCGAUGAUCAGUAGCCGGUCUGCGAUGAUGGAUGGCCACAUUGGGACGGAGACACGGCCCAGACGCCUACGGGAGGCAGCAGUGGGGAAUCGUCCGCAAUGGACGAAAGUCUGACGGAGCAACGCCGCGUGAGUGAUGACGGCCGUCGGGUUGUAAAGCUCUGUUAAUCGGGACGAAAGGCCUUCUUGCGAAUAGUGAGAAGGAUUGACGGUACCGGAAUAGAAAGCCACGGCUAACUACGUG
rnacentral:rRNA from 1 species